CAGAAAGCAAUUGAAGUGAGCAGGAGUGCUUGCAACCAUUGGGCUGCUCAUCUGGUGGCUGAUGAAUAUGAAGCCAUAAAAUUAUCUCUGGCAAAAUUUCCUCUCCUGGACUUCUCUGUGCCCUCGAGGAGCUACUGGAUAUCUUUCCCCAACUAUCAGGAGUGAACUGCUUUGCUGUAUGACACACAAUGUGAGAGCUCACCACAGGACCAAAAACAUGGGGCCAAACUGAGCAUGGAUUGAUACCCCAAAGCUGCAAAUCAAAAUA